rnacentral:rRNA from 1 species
AACCCUAACGGGUUUGGUACGAUCGUUAGUUGUAGGGAACUGAAAGGACGACCUUCGGGAGCUAACACAGGUGCUGCAUGGCUGUCGUCAGCUCGUGUCGUGAGAUGUUCGGUUAAGUCCGCUAACGAGCGCAACCCUCGCCGUGUGUUAUAAGUGUCACGCGGGACCGCCGGUCUUAAGCCGGAGGAAGGUGGGGAUGACGUCAAGUCAGCAUGGCCUUUAUGUCCUGGGCUACACACGCGCUACAAUGGCCAGUACAAUUGGUAGCGAAGUCGCGAGGCGGAGCCAAUCCGUAAAAGCUGGCCUCAGUUCAGAUUGCAGGCUGCAACCCGCCUGCAUGAAGAUGGAGUUGCUAGUAACCGCAGGUCAGCAAUACUGCGGUGAAUACGUUCCCGGGCCUU